GGAGGCGUGGCAGAGUGGUUGAAUGCACCGGUCUUGAAAACCGACGAGGGGGCAACUCCUCCGUGGGUUCGAAUCCCACCGCCUCCGCCA
rnacentral:tRNA from 1 species